rnacentral:lncRNA from 1 species
CUGUGGCAAUGUCGGAAGGUUUUCACAGCCUGGAUGCACAUAAGAAUCGUAGAACAAAAAAUUAGAGCUUAUGAUCAUUUAAUUAAUUUUACCAUAAAGACAAAACUGAUGGCCUACUCGACUUGGUCUCUAUAUACAGACAAGAGACUAUAAACAUAGGAAAACUAAAUUAGACCCAGAAAGUAAAAAAAAGUUUUAGUCACCUUUCUAUAAAAAAACCAUGUUAUAAUCCCCUAGGCCUUUGGCACCCAGAUUAUGGCGAUCAUCUCCUAUCACAGGUAAAAUUCCUUGCUCCCAGGUCGCCCUGAUGUGGCUGUACUUAAGCUCCUUCAUCUUGUUCUGUUUCCAAAGGCCUUUAGCACCCAGAUUAUGGCGAUCAUCUCCUAUCACACAUAAACUUCCUUGCUCCCAGGUCGCCCUGAUGUGGCUAUACUUAAGCUCCUUCAUCUUGUUAUGUUUCCGAUCGGGUGAGCCACCACAUCUCCCAAAUAUUGGUUAAUCUCUGCGAACAAUAGGCACACCAAAGCAUCACCACAUCAGGCAGGCGGAAGAAAACCAAUACCACAGUACAGCAGCAGGAACCACACACAACCAUGCUUUUGGCCAAUAAUCGUUAUUGCAACAAUCACAAAUGAAUGAAUCUUGCAUCAUGGACUGGACAAAAUAAUGUAACAGUCUUAGCCUCUCAUAAAGCAUAGCUUGGAGAUGAGUUCAAUUUCUGGUGCUUGUAUUUCAUCAAACAUGUUAUGUGCAAGAACUCUUAUUCUUCCCCUUUCAUGGCGCCUGUGCUUGCUCUACCAAGCAGCAUCUGCUCCAGAACACCCAUGUUCUGCUCGGUUUGUAGGCGAUGCAGCGCUCGCAGCGAAGGUUGGCCACCGGCUUCGCGAGGCAGAGGAGGUCGCCACAUGUGCAUAGCUGCGCCGGAGACGUGACAGAGGAGGACGCAUCGCCGGCGUCCAGUCCAACGCAUGCGAGCGCGCCGAGCUAGGGAGCGCCAUCCAAGAGGUGGAGAGGGCGUGAGGGGGCACUUUUUCCGACGGAGAGUCGCCACCGGAGACACGCCCGUGAUGUACGCGACGCCAUGGCUGUAACCCCAGCCACAGGCGAGGUGUUGCGGGGCGAGCACCGGUGACCGGGAGCGGCGGAUCCAGCCAUCUUGGCGGACGGAGGGGUCGGAGAGCAGCUCGUGAGGCUGCUGCGCAGUGGGGGGCGUUGGCGGAAUUGGCCGGCGUUGGCCGCGGCACGAGGGGUCACACGAGAGAGGGAGAGAUGUGCUGCUAGAGGGAUGGAUCGGUGGGGGAUUCGGCGGAUCCGGCAGCUGCCGAAGCUGCGAGGUAAGAGGAGGGGAAGGGGAGGGCCGACGUCGAGGUGUGGGAGUUAAGAGUUGGUCGGUGGCGGCGAUUUGUGGGAGACGAUGAUAGAGGGGCUGCGGAGGACUUAACUAAGAAAUAAAGGAAAUGCUUAUUCA